rnacentral:lncRNA from 1 species
GGGAGCCAGGCAGCUACGCCGCCUCUCUUUAACUUCUCAUGGCUCAGAGGAACAGAAAACCCAAGAGGAAACUGAAGUGUUGUCCUUGCCUUUCCUCUCCCGGGCCAGAUGAGGACUGGCCGGAGCAGUGCCUUCCUUCAGAAUCAGAUGAAGAAGCAAAACUUCUUGGCCACUAUGAAAACUCUGAUGACAACAAGGAAAACUUCAGUAAGAUUAAUUACCAAAUAGAAGAAAAACCUAGAAAACUCAAUAAAGAGUGGAAGGCUCAUCUGAACAGUCAGCAUUCACAACUGUGUAAUGACAGAGAAGACAUGAUAGGUUUAGAAAGCCAUAGUCUUUUGAAGAAUGCUUCAAACAUUUCCAGCACUUCAGCUUUUAAGAAGUACAAACAAUUUAAAAACAAAAAUCUUGAGAAUGAUAUAAAAAGUAGUCCGGAGCAAAAUGAACCAACCAAAAAUGAUAAUGGCCAGAACCAAGCUUUUUCUCUUUCAUCUCUGUCUUUAUCUAUUAUGGAAAAGAAAGCAAAGGUGAAAAAAGCUUCUCAGAAAAGCAAUAGUCAAGACCAGCUGCCAGAGAAAAAUUUUGGAAAAGUUUGUAAAAGUCCCAAACUAUCAAAGAAGAGUAAAACCAAGACCAGACCAUUCCGUCAGCACUUGCAUGACCUCCCAUCACAAGACUCUUACUUAAAUGACAGUGAUGAAGAACAGAUAGCCAGCAUUUCUAAAAACAGCAAAGAUGGUAAACCCUUGUAUAAACGUAAAGGUAUUAAUUCUGCAUUAUGUUAUUUUGAAGAUAGCAUCCUAACUGGUUUUAAGAAGUGUAGGAAAUCACAUAAGGGAAUCUCUAUCAGGAAAGUACAAAGGGCUAAAACCCCUGAAACAAACAGGUAUCACCAAAGUGUCCUAGAACCUCUUCUGUCAUCAAGUCCUAUUACCCUGGAAUUAAAAAAUUAUGACUCAGAAGAGGAAUUCUCUACAGGAAGCCUGUCAGAGAAGAGGGAUUCUUUAACAGUGAAGUCAAGCACUGAAGAAAUGUGCAGCAGUUUUGAUCAUAGCCAAGAUAUUUUUUUAACACAGAGGUCUUUAUCUUCAGAGCAUGUUUCCAAUAGUUGGAACAGCUCUUUGUCUUCACCAGCUCCCAAACGGGCCAAGAAUGGAAGUAGUGAAUGGAGCGAUAAACCCACCCAUUCUCCAGAUAAUUUGUCACGGUUAUCUUCAAGUGGAGAAAUUGUCCCAAAUGGAGAAAUCAUUCCAGAUGAUACUAAUCUUUCUCAGAAUAAUUUGAAAUUCUUUGAGAAAAUCAGAAAAUAUUCAAGUACAAAAGAGAAAGCCAUUCAGACAGAGGAUUUCUUUGGUUCCUCAGGAUUAGCUACCUCAUUCCUCUUAAGAAAAGAAGUAGAUUUAUAUGAAAAACCCCUGGACUUGACUUUGCCUGGGAGAAGCAGGUCUUGGGUCAAUAGUGCUGAGAAUGUUUCCUGUGCCAUGUUGGCUGCUGGUGAUGGGGUUCACUUAAUUUCUGAAAAUGUUUCUGAGACUAUUUGUUCUGUAGAAGAUCAAACAAUAGGUUCAGGGCUAGCAACUGCUGUUCUUAGUGAAGACAGUGAGAAGUGUGUUUGCCAUCAGCUGAGAAAAUCAAAUGAGAUAAAUUAUAUUCAGACAAAACUUAAUUCAUCCUUUUUCUUUAAAAUGAAAGAUGAACCAGACACUAACAUUCCUAAAGAAUCUUUAGCAAAAUUAAAGAACCAAAUAAAAAAAUAAUUCUAUAUAGAAAUUGAACAGAAAUAGUAGACACACAGUUUUAAGGCAGUUAUAUAAUUUGCAUGUUCCUAUAUAAUAUUUUGCAUUCAAGAAAGAUGGAAUUUCUCAUUUAAUUAUAAAUGUAUAUUCUUCAUAGGUUUAAGAAAACAGGCUGAGGAGUUGACAACUUAACUUCUUUGUGAUUCUAAAGGGGAAUUUGAACCAGUGUAGAUACCUAAAACAGAGAAAGCCAAAGCCUGCUCCAAUUUUGAAUUAGAAUGUACUGUAUUAAUAUUAGUCCUUUAUAUUUCCAAGAAGUAAAAGUGAUAAUGCCCACUGGGGUUAUGUCUAUAAUACAUUAAAAAGCUGAGAUGAUAGUGGAAAAAUUAAGUCAGUCACCCAGUGUGUGGACAAGACAUCAUCAAAGAUAGAUACCUUUUGGCAACACGUAGAAAACCUGUAUGUAGUUUUGCUUGCCACAAGUUGUAUAUCAUUAAACCAAGCUUUUGUAAGCUUAGUCUCAGUGUGCUGAGCCAUAGCCAUUAAUUUUCAGUAUCAUGAGCAGUGGGGGAAAAACUCUUGUCCCCAAAUUUUCACCUGGGCAUUUAAGGGGGAGAGGGAUGUCAUUUCUGGAACAGUCAUUUACCUAAGACUAGUGGUCAGCCUGCUCAGUUUUCUUUAUUGUCCUCAAUUUAAGACGAUAUUGAAAAAAAUGUUUAAAUGAUACUCUCUAGGUAUUUAGAAUGUCUUUAAAUUGUCUUUCAUAUUUUCUAACCAAUAGAUUUAGUAGUUAUUGUAGGGAUGAUGUUGUGUAAGGAAAGGUAGGAAGUAAAAUAAUUGAAUAUACUUUAUAAUGGAGAGCUGUUUGGGGGGGUCUAAAAUAAUUUCAUGUUGUAUUUGCCUUCAAAUAUUUCCUUUUUCCUAAAUUUUCAGCCAUGAACAUUAGAAACAAUUUGAUUUUGUUCAAUUGUUCCUCCUCAAAGAUGAAAAAAGGAGGCUAAUUUUAACACCCCCAAUUUUUAGUAUGUAUGACCUGUUACGUGGGGGGGGGGGGUGUAUAUGUGUGCAUGUGUUUAGGUGUAGAAUACUGAUCUCUUCAUUCAACAUUCACCAAGUGUUAAAAGCUGGUUCCAAAGAAUAAGUUAUAACUUGAAUUAACAUUGUAUUUAAUUAAAGAGAAAAUGUGAAAUAAAGUUGUAAACUUUUUCUUAUUCUUUGACUUU